UGCACACGCAAGCAUUUAUCGCUGACAGACAAAGGAACAAAAUCUCCAGGAGGCAGCUGGGAUCUUUUCAUUUUGAAAAUGCUUUAAUAAGUGUUGACAACACUGUUUUGCAAAAUGUAAAGGUGUACACUUAAAGCGUUCUGGGAAUAUGAAUCCCUUCUGCACCCUGGAAUCACCAGUCCAGCCAUGCAUGGAGCUGGGGAAAGCAGGCCCUGAAUUGUCUAGAGAGACUUGGUGGAGGAGGCCACGGCCCGCCUUGUCCCUGCCGGGUCCCGGCCAGGAACAACUGGAUGUUGUAAAUGUUUCUCAUCUGGCCUUAAAAUCCAUGAAAGCUGGAAAAUCACAAGGCAUCUGUGCAUAUACUGGUGGAUUUUAAUGAGAGUCCUGUGUUUGGAGCACCAGAAAUAAACCAGCUUCAGAAGCAAAGUGAGACUGGGCAUGAUUCAGAAAAGUUGGAAGAUCUAGAGAGGGAUCUUGCAAUCUGAAGUUUCUUGUUUAGUCACUGGAGGUAAGCCCGAGAAUUUGCAUUUCUGACAAGAUCCCAGAUAAACCUGCAGGAACAAAAAUGCCGACCAGGUGCCUGUAAUCCUAGCACUUUGGGAAGCUGAGGUGGGUGGAUCACCUGAGGUCAGGAGUUCGAGACCAGCCUGGCCAACGUGGUGAAACCCUGUCUCUACUAGAGAUUAGCCAGGUGUAGUGAUGCACACUAGUAAUCCCGGCUACUAGGAAGGCUGAGGCAGGAGAAUCACUUGAACCAUGGAGGUUGCAGUGAG
rnacentral:lncRNA from 10 species